rnacentral:rRNA from 1 species
AGUGAACGCUGGCGGUAGGCCUAACACAUGCAAGUCUAUCGGUCGCGUAGUAAGAGUUUGCCUUUAUGGGUGGCGAUUGUCGGCAGGGUGAGGCCUACAUCGGUCUCCUCUUUUCCGCGUGGGACUACGUAGGGAUACCUACCGUAGUAUCGCAUACGCCGUACGGGAUGGUGCACGGGAUCUACAGCCCUUGCGCGAUUCAUUCAGCCUGCGUCGCAUCAGCUAGUUGACGAGGUAAUGGCCCACCAAAGCGACGAUCCGUAGCUGGACUGACAGGAUGAUCAGCCACACUGGAACUGAGACACGGUCCAGACUCCUACGGGAGGCAGCAGUGGGGAAUCUUGGACAAUGGGCGCAAGCCUGACCCAGCCAUGCCGCGUGGGUGAAGAAGGCCUUCGGGUUGUAGAGCCCUUUUAUUGGGGAAGAAAAGCAGCAGGUGAAAACCCCGCUGUUCUGACGGUACCCAAUGAGUAAGCACCGGCUAACUUCGUG